rfam:Lactobacillus gasseri ATCC 33323, complete genome.
UCACAUCUGCAACCGCACGUUUAUGGGGUAAGAAGAGAAUUAACGUUAAUUCCACCUCAUACGGCGAGUCUAAGUAUUUUU